UCCAAAAUGAGUCUACGUAGUUUAUGGACAGCGCCUUGUCGCACGUUACUAGAGGGUCAAUAAACAAAUUCGUCCCCACCAUCAUCAAACUUUUCACCACGUCCACGUCGCACCACUGUCCUUUCAGUGCUAUGCUGCCUAUGAACGCAUAUCAGUCCCAUAUUUUCUGGGUUUCCUAUUCAUAUGGGACAGUAUUGCGGUCAUAGGUAGUACUGUUUAUCAUACUAAGUUCAAAAGAGCAUCGAUCUGUUUCAGUUCGCCUAAGUCUACAUGACGAAAUACUUAAUUUGGAUCCGACAAGCGUCGCACGAAUUAGUAUCAGCUUCGCCGGAAAACCAUGUUCAAUCAUUAUCUGCCAUAACUCGUUUCUCUUCACUGUAUCGUACACCUCCUUGGAAUCAAUAAAAUGAUAAAUGAUGGGUAUGCAAGUCUCGAAAAUGAUCGAGAAUCUGCCGCAGGGUGAAUAUCUGUACCAUUGUUGAUCAGUCCUCAUGAAAACCCGUCUGAUGUUCGUCGAAAACCCGCCUGAUAAUCGAUCUCAGCCUGUUAAACAGAAUUCCGGGUAAAAUUUUGUACGCUGAAUUGAGCAGUGUUAUUCCACUGCACUGUAAUUUGCGCACUUCAGUCGAUACCCCUUCUUAAAAAGAGGGCAAAUGAAACCAUCCAACCAACUAGCAGGCAGUUCUUCUUCUUCCCAUAUCUUCAAUAUAACAAGGUGUAAGAGUUGAUGCAGCUGCUCACUAUCGUGCUUGAGAAGCUCGGCCGAGAGUUCUGUACACUGAACGGCGGCUUGCGGUGAAAAUUACUAUUCUGAGGGUCAAUUUAAAUACACAACGCCACUGAAUUUGUGCAGACUGAGUUUCGUUUCAAUUCAACAGAAUUAUGUUUUCAAUUUUACCAUGGAUUCGAUUUUCAAUUUAAAAAAGUUUCUGUUAGCAAUCGGAUUCGAACCAACAACCUUGACAUCACCAGGCUCGCACGCUACCACUCGGCUAUCGAACCGGUUGAUGUAAGAAGAAACAAAACGCACACAGGAAGCGUUGGUGGGUCGAUGAUCAUGUUUUGCCAUGUUAAAUUUAUAAACAUUUUUAUGCUUGUCAUUACUGCAAGCUGCCUUUCAGUGUAGUGAACAGCACUUUAAAACGAUAAGUUCAAGAACCAUUUGUAAUUUGAUUUGCGCUAACGAUUGUUAUGCUCGAAUAAUACCUUUUCAUAAAGCUGAAAUAAAUAGACACGGCGAACUGGGAAUCGCUCUCUUAUUAUUUCAACCAUCAAUCAUUGUUUCCAUAGAUAACAAGAUUAAAGAAAUCUCCUUCAAUAAUACUCGGACAUAAAAAGUUCGCCCUUCCCGGCAGCCUUGUUGUUCUUCAGCCCUCUAAUGGCUGUCUUGACCUCGCCUAGCGUUGGAGUUUCUACAGCAUGUCCGUCGUCGUUGAUUUGAAUUCUGUCUGUCGCUCUUCAAUUUCCACCAUUCAACAAUAUGUAUUCCUCGAGGUUCUCUCUCCACCUGGUAUCCACCAUUAUUUUGUCUGUCAGCAAGUCACCAUCAAGGUCGUUGCACAUGACGGGAGAAGGCGCUGUUUUCCUCCAAACGCCAUUGGCAGUUUCGUAAAACCUCCGCAUAUCAUUCUGUUCCAUGCCCUCUUGCGCCUGAGCAAUCAAGUUUUUCUCAUAUUAUCUUUUUUUUUGCGGUGGGUUUGUUUUUCGGAUACUCUUGCUUCACUAUAUUGCUGCCUGCUCUGCCGGGUCCCUGACACCAGCAUUCGACUUCUGGUAACAUUCUUCUCGUUCGCUACCCUCUGGCACUCCUUAUAGAACCACCCGUUCCAAGGUCGUCUUUGAUCAGUGACUAUCACAUCACCUGUGCAUCCAUACUUAUUACUCCAUGGAUAGAUUCCCACAGAGUGUUGAGAUUAUCGCUCUCGUUGAUCUCACUUAUCCGCUCGUCCGUGGUGAUAGUCAGCUACCGUACCGUCUGCUGGAAAUCGUUGGAUGUUGAAACGUGUCGAUCGCCUGUUCGUAGAGUCUGGCACGGUUGAUAACCGAGCUCGAAUCUUACUAACUACGACUAGUGAUCUGAAUCGAUGUUGGGACCCUUAAAAGUGCUAACAUCAAUGACGUCCAAGAAUCUGUUCCAAACUUCGCCGUUUGGAUGUCUUACAAGUGUGUUUGCGAAUAUUUUUGCGUGCAAAGUAGGUGCUACUAAUUGGUAUCCCUCUGGCGGCAGCAAAGUUGACUAAUCUCGUUGAACGGAUGUGUGCGUUGGCGUCUCCUUUUGACAAUCUUAAAGUCGCGUCGUGUCUUGGGCACAAGGAUGGGAACACUCACUUGGAAAGAGUUACACUCACUUGCAGUUUCCUCAGCUCAGAAGCGUGUAAUCGGAAAACGAUGUAUGGACGACAUUUGCCCCGUAAUUUUGUCUAAAAGUUUGCUGAAUAGAGUAGGGGUCGCACACGCAUACAGAAGUCGUGAGGAAGCUGUGAAGGCAACUCUCCACGUAAAUUACACUCAUCUCGUGGAGAGUCGCUUUCACAGCUCUGUCACGACUUUAGGGUUCGUGUGCGACCCUUACUCUAUUCGGCAAUGUUUUAGGCAAAACCACAAGGCAAAAGUCGUCCAUACAUCGUUUCUUGAUUGCAUGCUUCUGAGCUGAGGAAAUAGCAAGUGAGUGUAACUCUGUGCAAGUGAGUGUUCCCAUCCCUGCUUGGGCAUCAUCCAUACACUGAAAUAAAUUUUAUAGUAAUUUGAACCAUUCAACUAUGUUUAAUUUUACCAUAUCCAAGAAUAGUAAUGGUAACCAUGAUUUUUAUGGUAAUAAUGAUGUUUUUGCUCAAACUCACUAUGAUCUGACAGAUAACAGCAUAGUAAUUGGAACUAUCAAGCGUGGUACACACAAUCACAUUUUCCGUACUUGUUAGAACCAUCUCCGUGUUUACUUGUUACUAUUUACAUGGUUAGUUUGAAUAUACACAAUUGUACUUUCAGUUUUCUUGUCAGUUCUUGUCAAAAAUUCGCCCAAGUUCAAAACACAAAUUCUGAAAAAGAAGUAUCUGAGGAACUUUGCGGCUGCUAGUGAAAUCGGCGAAACGUUUUCAUGGUGCAUCAUGCUAGCGCGCGGCUCACCCAGAGGACUGCGAAAGACCAUUCAUUGGAGGCAGCGCUUCGUAGGCGCUUAUCAUGUUUGUUUGCUACUCCGCACCGGGCGCACCGGGCGGGUCCGGAACUUCUUAUUUCGAAGAUACGGUGAGGAUUUCAUUUUCGGGGCAGCAGAUGACAUCAGAAUAUCGCAUCACGGCUCGCAUCACGGAAUGAAUACGGAGAACCUACCAGCAAGAACCUUAGACUCUUGCUUAGACUCGAUUAUAUAGAUCUGGCAGUUGCCUGUGUGCAAAAUCAUUAAUAUUGUUCACAAGAUUUAUUAUACUUAUAUUGUUUAUAUUGAAUAAAUUUAAUGAAAUAUUUAUUUUUCAA